UACAGAGGGUGCAAGCGUUGUUCGGAAUUAUUGGGCGUAAAGAGCUCGUAGGCGGUUUGUCGCGUCGAAUGUGAAAACCCGGGGCUCAACCCCGGGCCUGCAUUCGAUACGGGCAGACUAGAGUUCGGUAGGGGAGUCUGGAAUUCCUGGUGUAGCGGUGAAAUGCGCAGAUAUCAGGAGGAACACCGGUGGCGAAGGCGGGUCUCUGGGCCGAUACUGACGCUGAGGAGCGAAAGCGUGGGGAGCGAACAGG
rnacentral:rRNA from 1 species